UCUUCCCAAGAAAAGUUUUAGGGUUUUAAAGUGGAAAUCGUUUUUCAACUAAAGAGUUAAACCGAAAUUUUCACUCUAUUUUAUUUAAUUUUAAUUUCAUUUUUCGGGGUUCUUUCCUGAACAGAAUCUUGGAGGAAAAACAAUUUUGAAGAGGAAGAUGAAACUCUCCCAUGCUUGCAUUCCCCAUUAAUUUCCCUGAUUUCUUUUCUAUCCCAAACAUUUGCCUUUUUUUCCCAUCUGUUCCCUGUCUUUCUUCCGUCCUCUCUCCAUCACCUCCCAAAUCACACUCGACACUCCCCGGAUCCGACGCCGGUCGUCUGACCCAACGGGCAUCCCCGUCGCUCAUCUACGACAACAGAAGGUUAUCUCUAGCAGUCAGCCCGUGCACAUCGGAGGAAAUCAUUAUGCAAGUGGCUGAAAUCUCGUCACAGUAAUAGAAUGAAUAAGCUGCUGGACUUUGGAAGAAAAGCUCUAUUCUACGUGAGGGUCCUUUCUGGGUAUGAAGAAAGGAAAAUUCGAAGUUACAGAUUGGAGCUUCAGAAACGUCUUCAACAGG